rnacentral:tRNA from 2 species
ACGAGUAUGCCGAAAUUGGUAGCCGGGUGGGUUUUAGGCACUCAUAAAAAAUUUGUUUUGUAAGAGUUCAAGUCUCUUUACUCGUA